AUGUCUUCUGAAUUCAACUAUCGAGCAUUUUCUGUCACUUCAGUUGGAUUUAUUGCUUCAAUUUUUAUUGUGGUUCUCAAUAUUCGACUUCUAUGGAAAUUUCAAAACUCUCUCAUGAAAAACAAACCUGAAUAUCACUUAUUCAAAAUUAGAUUCAUAGUUGAUAUAUGUUAUUCUUUGACAGACGAAUUACUUAUGCAUCGGCGACGCGUGCCUAACUCUUAUAUUUGACUUUUCACCUUUUCUGGUGACACUCAUUUUCAAAACUCAACUUUUGUCAGCAGACAUCUAUGGGCCAUACAAUGCUACUGCGAAAAGUCUUGCAUGUUUUAUUGAUGCUGUAAUUGCAGCUAUCGUGUUGAAAAUACCAUCAAAAAUAAAUUCUAUAAAGAGUGUAAAUCCGCGUAGUGGAAUCACUUCCGACCGACAUGGAUCAAGCCGAACUCAAUUUUAA
rnacentral:misc_RNA from 1 species